GGUAUAUACUCGAGGGAGAGGUUACUCAUUCCUGUUAGCAAUCCAGACUGCCUCAUCAACGGUACUUGCUACAUAGAGCUGGAUAUAUAUGCAAAAAGGGAAGUGGCAGUUUUGUACCUUGACGGUGGCCCUGAUCCAAAGCUUACCACAAUGUUAAAUAGAUUGACCUCAGAGAGAAGCAAGAAAAGGGUGAUAGACUCCCUAAGGAGAAGCAUGCAAGUUGAUGGUGAAACUGCCCAAUAUUACUUAGCAGUAUCAGAUGGUGACCCCCGAUCUGCUUUCUCACAAUUCUCGGAGGAUCUGAGGUGGGAGAGGGAGGCAGGGUUGACUUAGCUUGUACAUGUCGAAAAGGUCAUCCUGGUAAGAUGUCUGAAUGUAGGGAAGUACCUGGUAAUGAGACUAGUAACGAAGGAUGUACGGUCACAGUGAGUUGCUCCCACAUCACCGAUCUGGUUGCUUGCCUAUAAUGGUAGGUCUGCUUUAAUUAUGAUUGGAGGAAAUGAAUCUAUCUAUUAGAAUUGCUGUUACUGUCAGCAUAGCAGUACAUGUAGUUCAUUCACUUUGUACUAUGUAUAGUAAGAUACAUUGUGUUUUAGUGCUUGUAUGACUGUUGAAUUCCAUCUGUAUUCAUGUAAAAUGUACACCUAAAUGAAAGAAAACUUGUAUUAUC
rnacentral:misc_RNA from 1 species